rnacentral:tRNA from 1 species
UGGGAUAUAGCUCAGUUGGUAGAGUGCUUGCCUUGCAUGCACAAGGCCCUGGGUUCAAUCCCCAGCACCACAC